ACUCAGUUAGCUCAGUCAGUAGAGCAUGGAACUUUUAAUCUCAACGUUGUGGGUUCGUCAAAAGAUUCCUGCAUUGAAAGCA